GGAAUCGAUUGAGAACAAUCGCUUAAUGAUUAAUUUCCAAUAUGCAAGUGGAAACUCGGCGCUCCAAUCCGUUGGGGUUUUCUAAUUUUAUUCGAAAAAUUACGUGAUCGUCAUUUUUUGGACGAUUACCAGCCUGCUGGUCCACAUUCCACUUGAGGCUUUUGCUGACUCAAGUUGAACAACUCGCUCAGUGCGUUCGAAAUUGUUCAGGAUGUUGCAGUUGAAAUACUAUCCGGACGAAGGCGGCUAUAAUUUCCGCUACUAUCCAGAUAUUCGAUAUUAUUACGAUGACAAGAUCCAACGUGUGAAUAGCGCCCUUUACGACUACCCUUAUAGAACACGCAUAUGGUUCCCCUAUAGAGGAUACCGGGUGUUUUGCGACUAUAUGCCCUCAGGAGUGCCAUUCGCCAUACAAAGAGUCAGCAAGCUGAUGUACUUUAACUACUACGACACCAAGAAGCACCUGCAUAUCAACUAAGAAUUGCCCAAUUUCAUCCUCUUUGUCUGCGGAACUUUGUACAUAUUUUUGAUGAGGUGCCAAAUAAAUGAAAUUUUCUGUUUUCCAA